CAGUAGCCGCGGUAAUACGUAGGUGGCAAGCGUUGUCCGGAAUUAUUGGGCGUAAAGGGCUCGCAGGCGGUUUCUUAAGUCUGAUGUGAAAGCCCCCGGCUCAACCGGGGAGGGUCAUUGGAAACUGGGAAACUUGAGUGCAGAAGAGGAGAGUGGAAUUCCACGUGUAGCGGUGAAAUGCGUAGAGAUGUGGAGGAACACCAGUGGCGAAGGCGACUCUCUGGUCUGUAACUGACGCUGAGGAGCGAAAGCGUGGGGAGCGAACAGGAUUAGAUACCCCCGUAGCCCCUGUCUCUUAUAA
rnacentral:rRNA from 1 species